UGAGGAAUACACUCUCUGCUGGCAUGGUA
rnacentral:piRNA from 1 species